GUAGUGAACAAAGUGAGUACGGUAGUGUACUAAACAGAGUGAGUACGGUAGUGAACUAAACAGAGUGAUUACAGUAGUAAACAGAAUGAGUAGUGUGCUAAACAGAGUGAGUACGGUAGUGUGCUAAACAGAGUGAGUACGGUAGUGUGCUAAACAGAGUGAGUACGGUAGUGUGCUAAACAGAGAGUACGGUAGUGUGCUAAACAGAGUGAGUAGUGUAGUGUGCAAACAGAGUGAGUACAGUAGUGUGCUAAACAGAGUGAGUACGGUAGUGUGCUAAACAGAGUGAGUAGUGUAGUGUGCUAAACAGAGUGAGUAGGGUAGUAAACAGAGUGAGUACCGUAGUGUACUAAACAGAGUGAGUACAGUAGUUAACAGAGUGAGUACGGUAGUGUACUAAACAGUGUGAGUACGGUAGUGUACUAAACAGAGUGAAUACGGUAGUGUACUAAACAGAGUGAGUACGGUAGUGUGCUAAACAGAGUGAGUACGGUAGUAAACAGAGUGAGUAGUGUACUAAACAGAGUGAGUGCUGUAGUGAACAAAGUGAGUACGGUAGUGUACUAAACAGAGUGAGUACGGUAGUGAACUAAACAGAGUGAUUACAGUAGUAAACAGAAUGAGUAGUGUGCUAAACAGAGUGAGUACGGUAGUGUGCUAAACAGAGUGAGUACGGUAGUGCCAAACAGAGUGAGUACGGUAGUGUGCCAAACAGAGUGAGCACGGUAGUGUGCUAAACAGAGUGAGUAGUGUAGUGUGCUAAACAGAGUGAGUACAGUAGUGUGCUAAACAGAGUGAGUACGGUAGUGUGCUAAACAGAGUGAGUAGUGUAGUGUGCUAAACAGAGUGAGUACGGUAGUAAACAGAGUGAGUACCGUAGUGUACUAAAACAGAGUGAGUACAGUAGUUAACAGAGUGAGUACGGUAGUGUACUAAACAGAGUGAGUACGGUAGUGUACUAAACAGAGUGAGUACGGUAGUGUACUAAACAGAGUGAGUACGGUAGUGUGCUAAACAGAGUCAGUACGGUAGUGUACUAAACAGAGUGAUUACGGUAGUGUACUAAACAGAGUGAGUACGGUAGUAAACAGAGUGAGUACGGUAGUGUGCUAAACAGAGUGAGUACGGUAGUGAACACAGUGAGUACGGUAGUGUACUAAACAGAGUGAGUAUGGUAGUGUGCUAAACAGAGUGAGUACAGUAGGGUGCUAAACAGAGUGAGUACAGUAGGGUGCUAAACAGAGUGAGUACGGUAGUAAACAGAGUGAGUACGGUAGUGUGCUAAACAGAGUGAGUAAGGUAGUGUGCUAAACAGAGUGAGUACGGUAGUAAACAGAGUGAGUAGUGUACUAAACAGAGUGAGUGCUGUAGUGAACAAAGUGAGUACGGUAGUGUACUAAACAGAGUGAGUACGGUAGUGAACUAAACAGAGUGAUUACAGUAGUAAACAGAAUGAGUAGUGUGCUAAACAGAGUGAGUACGGUAGUGUGCUAAACAGAGUGAGUACGGUAGUGUGCUAAACAGAGUGAGUACGGUAGUGUGCUAAACAGAGAGUACGGUAGUGUGCUAAACAGAGUGAGUAGUGUAGUGUGCUAAACAGAGUGAGUACAGUAGUGUGCUAAACAGAGUGAGUACGGUAGUGUGCUAAACAGAGUGAGUAGUGUAGUGUGCUAAACAGAGUGAGUACGGUAGUAAACAGAGUGAGUACCGUAGUGUACUAAACAGAGUGAGUACAGUAGUUAACAGAGUGAGUA
rnacentral:lncRNA from 1 species